AUGAAAACACUGCUCGAGAAAUCGAUGAACAUCCCAGCCCUCAGGCCGGCACGCUGUCAACCGGGUGGCUCCCGCUCUAACCCACUCACAACCCUCAUGAAUGAUAUUGCUGAGGACACGAGAAUUUGGGUGUGCAUUGCGAAGGUGCAGGCGUUUCUGUGCUUCCAGAUCAUCAAGGACGUGAGGAGCACAGUCCUAGCAAGGCCCUUGUGCCUCUCUUUCGAUGUCCUCUGCUUAGCUUCAAGCCACUGGUCAACGAGGGUUUCACCAGGGACAAGGCCUCCGAAGGUGGCACAAAUUGAGGAGAGAACCUCAUGCCAGAUCACUCUGGAAAACAGGCAGUCGGCCAAAAGGUACUGCAUUGUCUCCAAGGUUUGGCCACGGAAUAAGCAGGCUUGUUUGUGCGGCAAGUCUUUGAGAGCGAGAUGCUGCACUGUCCAGCAGCGGUUCAUACCAGCCAGCCAGAAGAAAAUUUUCACCUUCCAUGGAGCCCAAGACUUCCAAGUUAGUUUCCAAGCAUGA
rnacentral:rRNA from 1 species